GAGACUCCAGGCUCCCUCCUACCUGGGAAAAUAGAGCCAAUGAGAAAAGACCUCCCCAUGCUAUGGAGGGACCUGCCAGGUUCCUGACCACGGCAUCUUUGGAUGGGGCUGGGAGGAAAGCCUACAUGUGGGGCAAACCUGUUUCCUCAACAGGAACAAUAAUGAACCUCAGUCCAAAUCUUAGCCCUGCCAAUCUCUAAGGCCUUUGGUUUCAACAUCUAAGAAAGAGGACUAGGCAUCACAGAAGGUGUUGUGAAGAUUAAAAACAACUAUAUUCCUAGUCGUUGGAGACUCUGAAUGGAAAGGAUCCCACAGGGAUAACUAGCACUCUGAGGAGACUUCCGAUUUAAUGAAGAUGCUGUCUGGCUCCAACGGGUUUCCCAGGAAGACAAUAAUUACUCAUCCUCUAAUAGAGCCAAUAAAUAUAGCAAAAGGAUAAGUAAUUAACAACCUUUUGCUGGAAA